AAAUACCAUGUGUGCAUGAACAAUUGCAUCAUUUAUCGGGACGAGCACGCGGAGUCUACCAUAUGUCCGAUGUGCGGCAUCACUCGAUACAAGAAGAGGAAGAAAGCUCCUCGAAAAGUGGUGUGGUACUUUCCGAUCACUCCUCGUCUGCAGCGGUAUUUCGCGGACCCUAAGGUAGCAAAGCUCCUGCGUUGGCACGCAGAUAGGGAGGAGAAGAAGCGAGAAGAUGACGCAAAUGAUCCGGAGAUAGAUAAAAAAGACAAGAUGCUGAGUCACCCUAAGGAUGCGAGCCAGUGGCAAGCGUUGAACUUCGAAGAACCAGAAUUUGGGAACGAUCCAAGGAACAUCGUGCUGGGCGCGAGCACCGAUGGAGUCAAUCCGUUUGGCAGCCAGAGAAGCACACAUAGCACCUGGCCUGUGUUUGUGUGUAUGUACAACCUUCCCCCCUGGUUGCGCAUGAAGAGGAAGUACAUUCACAUGAGUAUGCUAAUUGAAGGGCCGAAACAACCAGGGAACGACAUCAAUCUGUAUCUGGGG
rnacentral:rRNA from 1 species